UAUUCUGCCCUACGGGGAAGGAUGAGAAGCUUCGACUAAGGUUCGACUCGAGCGUAGCGAGAGAACGUUGCCGAAGGCAACGGCCCGAAGGGCGAGGCGCUUUAGCGCCGAGUUAUCCUUCCCCCACCACCA
rnacentral:sRNA from 1 species